AUUUUUCCCAAAGAUGCAAAUUAAGUGGCUCUUACAAAUUGCCACUAAAAUAUGUGUAAAGGCCCAGAAAGAGAUAAAGAGCUAAGACUGACAGCAGGACUUCUUCCAGAACCUGCAGAAGUUCCAUCAUUGCCAGCUUGAUCGGCUGGCACUGCUGGCAUUGGCCAUUCAAAUUCGCCACGCGUGGCAGACAGACCCGCCACUAUCCGAGACAAAGCAUCCAGUGUUUACCCCACCGAGUCAUUCAGGAACUGAACAGCACUAUUUAAUAAAGCUAAAUAUAAACCACAAGAGGUAGAAAAUAGGAGGGAUGGGGAAAAAUAAGGUUUUCAGAACUAUUCAUCUUAUAAAAUCAAAAGUGAUGUGUUAACUCCUGGCUUUAUUAAUUUGAGAACAGUUAACAAAAGAAUGCUUUUAGAAACUUCUGGUUCGAGCCCGUUGGCAGGCCUUCCCACUAAAGUUCAACUAAACCCUGGAUAAACUAAAACAAAUAUGUUGCUUAAUGAAUGGCAGGACCUCCAAGCAUGUAAGGCAAAUGUUUAUUUAAUCUUGAUAAAAAUAAAUAUUUUAAGGAAAUUACAAAGCCACAGUUAUAGGUACCAUUUUUUAAAGAAAUUUAAAAAGUAAAAACCUAUAAAAAUGUAUGUGCUUGUGUGUAUAUUUAUAUGUGUUUAUAUAUGAAUAUGUGUAUGUAUAUAUAUGGGCAAGUAUAAGUAUUUCCAUGAUAAUGUGGAUGUGCUUUUUAUAUUAAUAAAGAAAGGAUACAUAUAAGGAUAUUUAUGGUAGUUGCCUGUAGAAGUGAACUUUGGGGUACAUUUAAGACUUGAACAUGGGAUAUUGCUUAAAGUUAGUGUUUAAAAAGUAGUGUAUAUGAAGUGCUAUGUAUGAAUGAUUAUAUAUACACACCGUGUGUGCGCACAUGCUAUGUUUAACUCUAGAAAAGAUUUGUGUAUAUUAAAAUGUUUUUAAUUUUAUAUUUCCCAUUAGAUUUUAUUGUCAAGAUAUCCGAGCUUAUGACAUUUUAUUUGGAGAUACACCGCGGCCUGCUCAAGCCGAAGAUCUUUAUGAAAUUCUUGAUUCCUUUACUGAAAAGUAUGAAAAUGAAGGACAACGAAUCAAUGCAAGAAAAGCAGCAAGGGAGCAGAGGAAGUCUUCUGUACCGUUUGGUUUUAUGUUUCACUCAGUAUUCUCAGAAAAUCUCUUUCUGUAGAACAUUCUGUCCCUGAUAUCAGGUUCCUAAGAACCUACUAAGCCUCCUUCGUAGUUUCACUGACUUCACAUUCUUGUGAAAAGGUCAUGCUACCUUGACAUUUCCUCUGUACAGAUUUCAGGGAAAAACAUAAUUUGUCCUCUGUGAUUGCAUUUCUCCAAGGAUGGAACUUUGUUGUAUCAAUAAUACAAAUAAUAUGUGGGAGGCUGAGGCAGGUGGAGCACUUGAGAUCAGGAGUUUCAGACCAGCCUGGCCAACAUGGCAAAACCCCCUCUCUACCAUAAAAAUAGAAACAUUAGCUGGGCAUGGUGGCGUGUGCCCAUAAUCUCAGCUACUCAGGAGGCUGAAACAGGAGGAUCGCUUGAGCCCAUGAGGUUGCACUGAGCCAAGAUCAUGCCAUUGCACUCAGCCUAGGCAACAGAGUAAGACCUUAUCUCAAUAAUAAUAUAUGAAUAAUAGUUGCAGAUACUGACGCCUUUGUAUGUCAGGCCUUGGGGCACCGAGGGAUUUGUGUGCAUUGUUCAUGAUGUUCCACAGCACCUUUCAGAGUUGGUAUGAUGCCUGUUUCAUGGAAUAAAAACUGAAGCCUAGAGUUUGUCUGUCACUGCCUCUGCCAGUUGCUUGCUAAACCAAUUACUACACCACCGUCCCUGCAGCUCCCUAAGACCUUGCACAGGUGGUCAGAGGUGCCUGGGGGAGGUUAGCUUCCAGGCAUGAGAAGAGCACACCCUGUCCACAUCUGAGUCUUGUCAUCCAGUUCAAUUACAUAGAGUCCAGAGGGGUGCAUGUGAGCUUUGAGAGUGCCACAUUAAUAAGCACACAUGAUAAAAGUUUGCUACAUAACCUCAUUAGAAAAGAGUUAUAUGUGCCUAAGUAAAAACAAGAUUUUAAAAUUAUGUGUAUUUAUCUUUUUGUUUCUCCCAGGCUAAAGAAUUACCUCCAAAGCCAUUGUCAAGACCACAGCAGUCAUCUGCACCAGUCCAGCUGAACUCUGGCUCUCAAAGUAAAUAUUUUUGUUGCAAUUCAAAUACAGUUGUAAUUAAGUAAUUAUUAAAUGUUAUCAUUAAGAAAUCAAGAUACAUUGUUAAACUUUAGAGUUAAAUAGAAGAACUAACAUAUUUAAGAGUAAAAUAAGUGCUCAGCCUCUUCUAAAUACAUGAGACAAAUUGUCAUUGCUAUAAUUUAUGAAAACUUCUCUUUCUAUUCAUAAGACACUUUCUUUUUUUUUUUUUUUUUUUUUGAGACGGAGUCUCGCUCUGUCGCCCAGGCUGGAGUGCAGUGGCGGGAUCUCGGCUCACUGCAAGCUCCGCCUCCCGGGUUCACGCCAUUCUCCUGCCUCAGCCUCCCAAGUAGCUGGGACUACAGGCGCCCGCCACUACGCCCGGCUAAUUUUUUGUAUUUUUAGU
rnacentral:lncRNA from 10 species